rnacentral:lncRNA from 1 species
GCGUAGCCUCUACCCCAAACUAAAAUAGACCACCCUGAUUCCCAUAACCCAUUGUCGAUCUUAAUCUUCACCGGUGGUCCUUCUUCAAUAAUCCUCGGUUGCCAGUGCUUUUGCAUAGGGGUGCGGUGAUUCUCCCCCCGUUCAAAAUGGUUUAAUGCAUACAACGCACGAGCCAGCAACUCUCCCUGUUGGCUCACUGGAAUCUUUCCCCUGUAAUUUUCCCCCUCCCCAAGGACACGCAACUUUUCCUUGAGGAGCCGAUUCGCUCUUUCGACAAUAGCCUGGCCCUGCGAGUUGCCAGGGAUACCUGUACUAUGCGUGAUGCCCCAACGCGCUAGCCACUCCUUGGUGGAGCGCGAGAUGAAGCAAGAGCCAUUGUCUGUCUCAAUGUGACUCGGUAGGCCUAAUGUCGCGACGCACACCGACCAGUGAUGUUGUGCUGCAGAAGAAUUCGCGCGGCCAUGUUGGGUAGCAACAAUGACAGUGGAUGCGGUAUCAACAGUAACCGCAAGCCAAGACCUCGGCGCCAGACGAGGCUCCAGCGUGAAGUCCGUCUGCCAGACGUCGAGAGGUGCAAUUCCUCUAGGGUUCACUCCUGCACUAAGCGCAGGGGCUGAAUUACAGUGAGGGCAUGCCUGCACCACCUCCCGGGCCACCGCCAUAGGAAUAGAACAUGUCCUUGACAGUGCUCGAGCCCCUAGGUGUAGCGUAGAAUGCAGGUCUCUAGCCUCCCUCACCGUAAGAACCUUGUGCCCCGCGUGUUGGUCAGCGAGGGCAUUGCCAGUUGUAAAGAAUCCCGGAACGUCUGAAUGACUUCGCACAUGAAGAACAGCAGCGGGCGCUGUCCUUGCCGUCAAUGCUUCCUCCAAGAGGAAGGCAAUCGAAGUACUGGGUUGUCCUUCCUGCCCCAUUCGUAGUAACAUUUUUGCAAUGAAAGCAGAGUCAGUGACUACAUUGCAAGGGGUGUCUGGCCAGAGGAGCAGUGCCAUCGCUACCGCCUGCGCCUCAAGUGUCUGAACACUGACACCGUGAUCUUGAAAUGUUCUAAUUUCCCAGUCACCCGUCUGGUUCUUCCAGACAACCGCCCCCUGACCUGUCGAUGAAGAGGCAUCCGUAAAUACUGUUGGACCAUCAAGGGGAGAAGCAACAACUCGAAGACGGAGUGACACCUGGAGCGGGCGUGCCAGCUCGAAAAUCGGAAGGGAACCCGCAUACCUAAGCUUGCCUCCGAACCCAUGCAGGGCCAGGAGGAUUUCGUCAGGCAAGAUCUGUGAAUCUCGGAAGAACCUGGGCAGGUGGACUAUAUCCAAAUCCUUUCCAAAAUCCCUAAAUGCAGAUGUCCUUGCCUUACUAAGUAGCAGGGAGAGAAGCUCCACCCAUGGGGUAAAUGCCCGCACUGGCUGUGCUGAGAACAGCCAGCGCAGAGGUUGUGGACAGGAGCCUAGUGCAUGACCAAUGACAGCUACGGCUCCAUCCUGGCAGCGUCCAUCUCUGGGGUCCACUCUCUCCUUUCCCGUGGGUCUGAGCCCUUCAGCUGGUCAUAAAAGGGCUUCAUUAAUCGUGGUGGAAUACCCAGCGCUCCCCGGACCCACUGGAUAGCUCCUACCAAUUUCUGAACAUCCCACAGGUUGGUUACCUGAGGUUUAAUCUCCAGGCCCUCGGGGAUAACCGUGGAUGAUCCAAACUUAUAUCCCAGGAAUUCUAUCCCUGGCCCUCGUUGUACCUUUUCUUGGGAGAUCGUGAAACCUGCACCCGUGAGCGCGCCUGACACCCGUGCUUCUAGGGCUUGUAGUUGGGAACCUGUCGGAGCUGCAAGCAGAAGAUCAUCCAUGUAAUGGACAAUCUGGCAGUCUGGCAUGUCGCGUCUCACUGGCGCGAUAAUUGUAUUCACCACAAGCUGACAAAUAGUAGGUGAACAGGCCAUUCCCUGAGGGAGAACCUUCCAUUGAAACCUUUGAGCUGGGCCCUGGUUAUUCCGUACAGGGACUGUGAAUGCAAAAGCCUCCCGGUCCUGUUCUGCCAAAGGGAUGGAGAAAAAGCAAUCCUUAAGGUCAAUGACCACAAGGGGCCAUCCCCUGGGAACAGCUGCAAGUGAUGGACUGCCUUGCUGAACGGGACCGAACUGGACGAGCUGUGCAUUAACAGCCCGAAGAUCAUGC